GAUAGUCCAUCCUCUCCAUUUGGCAGGUGUGCAGGACUCAUCGAUCAAUGCAGCUCACCUGGGGAGCAUACAACUAAAGCAUUUCCAAGUUAAGCAGGGGCUUUACACAGUGAUCCACAUGGUGUACGGCUUCAUGAGAGGGCAGAUGGUCCCACUCAAGCAGGAAGUGAUUGACAUAAUGACACGGCCGACCAUGGAAGCAUUGACCUGCAUUUAUCAGAAUCUGUCUUCCAGUCUACUCCAAACACUUUCUUUGUCUGUAAUGAUCACACAGAAUGAUGAAGCCACCCCUAAGGGCACAUUGUACUCGAGGUAUUAAUAUCGUUCUGCCACUCCUCCAGCUGUCAUGCGGCCAACAAGUUUAUUUUCCUUUCAUAAAGAACAGGUUCUUCCAUGUUUCAUUUGUGUUUAUGACAAAGUCUUGUCUGAAGUUGAUUCAUUUUCAAAUUACAACAUGCUUUGGUGUUGCAAUUAAUUUCAAUUGUUGUCUCUAGACAACAAAAAUGUAAUUUGUAAGUAAGCAAACGAACAAAAUCAGAAGUGCACAACUAGAUUUGCCAACUAUUUAUUAAUAGCCCAGCACCUCUUUGUGGAUAUUGCAGAGAAAAUUGAGUCUCAUUGUAACACAUGUUCUUCUUGUUUUCAGUGGUUGAGUACAUUUGUGCAGACAGUAUUUCUUUUCUUGGUUUUCUCUUCUGAGAUGAAAAGUUGCCAUUGUUUCUGAGGUCUAUAAUUAAAAGCAUACACUUGAUAAACUA